UCCUUGCCUUUUUUGCUUUUGUCCUUGAGCAAGGAACUAGCUGUCCCCACUAUUCCUUCUACUCUUUUCCCUCUAAAAUAACCCCUGGAGGCUAGCUGCGCCCAGGGACAUUUAGAGUGAAGGCUUCAUUUCCCUCGUAUUGAAGUUCUGGCCCAUGGCAUAUGACUAGAAGGCCUUGUGGAAUACCCAGUUCGCGUCUCAAAAUUAUGUACAUGUUUCUGCUAUCCCUUCCCUUCUGUGAGCAUUAAUGUGAACAACUGCCUUGGAAAAUCAUGUGGAAACUCCACAUUGAGGGCAACAGAUCAGCAAUAAGAGAGAAAGAGUGGAGGUCCCUGACAAUAUGGGGUGUCGGACCAACCCUAAAUUGCUUACGACUAAUCAAGAACUGUUGAAACUUCCAUAUUGCUUAGCCACUGUCAUUUUGGAUUUUUCUGUAAACCGCAGUUUAUUUUCCAAAGCAAAAAUCAGUCGGCAGAGUUGAAAGUGUGGUCCAAAUUAGUCAUAUUGAUAAACAGUGUGUCAUGGAAGAAAUAAAAUAAAUGGAAAAUCAUGGCUAUCAUAAGAAUCUCUUGCCUCUGAAAUUGGGCUGAGCCCUUUUGUUGGUAAAUGCAUCAUGAACUUACUCAUCCACAUAGGCAGGCCUUCUUUUGAUUGCAGUUUCACAGCAGGAUUUGCACUGGAGAAUUUCAUAGACAGCAGAGAAUAAUAUGGGUAAGCAAAGUGUAGAAUAAAGACAAACUUAUUAUGAUGUCCUCUUCAAGGGUAGAUAUUUCAAAUCAUUCUUCAUCACAAGGAGAGAUGAAUCUCAAAGCAUAACCUAAUUUUUUUGUAUUAAGAUUAUGGCACAGUAUGCAGUUUCUGUAUAUUUAAAUCUAAGUUUCAUAGAAACCAUCAGUUCCAGAGAAACACUUCAUAAUGAGGGUGCUACAUUGUCUGCACAUGCUGAGUCUCUGGUAUGGAGUCUCCGCACAUGCUAAGAAUGACUUUAUUGUUUCUAUCAAAGUAAAUACUGGUUUAUCAUCAUUCUGUGUGAGUCUUUGUGUGCAUUAGGAUGAUUUCUAUGUUAGUGGCAUAACUUAUUUUGUUGCUUUUAGCACACAGGGAAAUUCUAAACAGAGCUCACAAUAGCCUUUGUAAUCUCACUGUUGCUUGCUAAUUGAACUUCCAAUUUCUUCGGAUUUUGGCCUAAAAUGGCAAGGUGCUCAACAUGUACGCAAAGCAAUCUGUGGGAGCUGGUAAUGCUGAACAGUGAACAGGAGUAGGAAAAAAUAGAUCUUAGAGCAGUUUGAGGGUUUUUGCUAAGCCAAUGAUUUUGUAGCUCAGAGGAUCUGUUUAAUCAGUGAUAUUUCUAAAAGAGGAUCUCUCUGCUUUUGUGUAAACAGUCCAUGUUUCAUGUCUGACUCGGCCCAUGAAUGGAAUAAGACAGGGAUACUACAUUCUCUUUGUUAGUCAAAAUGUCUCUGCAAGAGAUAAACCACUCCCUAUUUAUUAACCAUUCCCUGGGACUGUUGAAAUGUAAGUUUUGUUAAGGACCAUCAAAACAACAAAAGACUGCAAAUACGAUAUCCAUACGUGUGUUGUUCUUUUCUGUUUCUCCACUGUUUGCCAUGUUUCUUUGGGUUGGAAACUUUAGGGAGAAAGCCCUAAAGUGAAGGAAGAAGACUGAACUGUGCCUUUUAAAACGUGUUCUGACCACUUUAGCAAUAAAACUAUGUUCAGCAUCAUAUAUGUUAGUAAGCAUUUUCAAGUGAUCUUGCUGUUAGUUUUUCUUUGAGGCAAAGAUGAGGAAGGAGGAGGAGGAGGAAGAGGAGGAGGAAGACAAAGAAAAAGAAUAAGAAGAGGAAGAAUAAGAGGAAGAGGAAGAAGAAAAAGAAGGAAGGAGGAAGGAAGAAUGAACAAGGAGAAAGAAGCUGUUCACAGAAUCAGAUAUUGGCCUGAGUGGUGAAAUGUGCCUUUUUUUUUUCAAAUGUCAAAAUUACCUUGUCCUAGGUCAGGUUGUUAAGCUCUUAUGAGCUUGGGACAGAUGCUUGUGCCUGACCCCCUAUCUGUGUUACAGUGAAGAUCCUUUACCUUUAAGAUGAAGUCAAAGGGAAAUUUUGACUCCUUUACUUAAACCUCAUUUUACUGUCCAGUCACUUAUUUAUUUGUUCUAAAACGUGAUUUUUUUUCUCAUUUGUUAUGGAUCUUAAACAUAAGC